CCUACGGGUGGCAGCAGUGGGGAAUAUUGGACAAUGGGGGGAACCCUGAUCCAGCCAUGCCGCGUGUGUGAAGAAGGCCCUCGGGUUGUAAAGCACUUUCAGUGAGGAAGAACGCCUGGUGGUUAAUACCCAUCAGGAAAGACAUCACUCACAGAAGAAGCACCGGCUAACUCCGUGCCAGCAGCCGCGGUAAUACGGAGGGUGCGAGCGUUAAUCGGAAUUACUGGGCGUAAAGCGCGCGUAGGUGGCUUGAUAAGCCGGUUGUGAAAGCCCCGGGCUCAGCCUGGGAACGGCAUCCGGAACUGUCAAGCUAGAGUGCAGGAGAGGAAGGUAGAAUUCCCGGUGUAGCGGUGAAAUGCGUAGAGAUCGGGAGGAAUACCAGUGGCGAAGGCGGCCUUCUGGACUGACACUGACACUGAGGUGCGAAAGCGUGGGUAGCAAACAGGAUUAGAUACCCUAGUAGUC
rnacentral:rRNA from 1 species